ACAGGAAAAUGACCUAUGAAUUGACAGAUAAUGUGGCUGAGCUUGUCUGUCAUUUCUGUAGGCCAAUAUUCUGU
rnacentral:pre_miRNA from 1 species